UCCCUGAUAGCUCAGUUGGUAAAGAAUCUGCCUGCAAUGCAGGAGACCCCGGUUCAAUUCUGGGUCGGGAAG
rnacentral:tRNA from 1 species